AUGCAGGUAACGGAGGCUCUUGCACGUGCAGGUCUCGAGUCGUCUAACCUCAUUCUCGGUAUUGACUUCACCAAGAGCAAUGAGUGGACAGGUUCAAGAUCCUUCCACAGAAAAAGUUUACAUCAUACUGGAGAUGAUUUAAAUCCCUAUGAAAUGGUGAUAUCCAUUAUCGGGAAAACCUUAGCAGCUUUUGAUGAAGAUAAUUUGAUCCCCUGUUAUGGAUUUGGAGAUGCAUCCACACACGAUCAAGAUGUUUUCAGUUUUUAUCCUGAAGAGAGGUGUUAUAAUGGAUUUGAGGAAGUCUUGAGUAGGUACAGGGAGCUUUUACCCCAUCUAAAGCUUGCAGUUGU